UCUUUUUCAGUUGUUCCAAUUCCAAUAUUAUAUCUUCAAAUCCAGCCCUAAUCAUCAAUCAAAUCCACCCAAAUUCUCACUCAACUCCACUCAAAUUCUCAAAUUCCAGUUAUCAAAACCCCAAUCCUCAAUCCCUGAUCCAAACCCCCCAAUUUUCUCUACGAAUUCCCCACAUUCCAAUGAAAUGAUCGUCUCCCCCAACGAACACUACAUCGCGCUCGAUUCGAGCUCCAGGUCGAUCAACGACACGGUGAAUGGGACGCACCACUUCACCAUCCGCGGCUACUCUCUGGCGAAGGGCAUGGGCCCUGGAAAGUACGUUUCUUCCGAUACUUUUAACAUCGGAGGCUACGAUUGGGCGAUUUACUUCUACCCCGAUGGGAAAAACCCAGAGGAUUCGUCCACGUACGUGUCCGUUUUCAUCGCGCUAGCGAGCGAGGGCACCGAUGUGAGGGCGCUGUUUGAGCUGGCUCUAUUGGAUCAGAGUGGGAAGGGGAAGCAUAAGGUGCAUAGUCAUUUCGAUCGCGCGCUCGAGAGCGGGCCUUAUACGCUCAAGUACAGAGGAAGCAUGUGGGGUUAUAAGCGUUUUUUCAGAAGGGCUGCCUUAGAAACUUCUGAUUAUCUGAAGGAUAAUUGUCUUUCUAUGCAUUGCACUGUGGGGGUUGUUCGAACUCGUGUUGAGGGACCAAAGAUGUAUAGUGUUCACGUCCCCCCAUCAGAUAUGGGUCAGAGUCUCAAGCAUUUGCUGGAUGCUGAACUUGGCUGUGACGUAGUUUUCCAAGUCGGGAAGGAGUCAUUCAAGGCCCAUAAGAUAGUACUUGCUGCUCGUUCUCCUGUAUUUAAAGCUCAAUUCUUCGGACUUGUUGGAAAUCCUAAUAGUGGAAAGGUGGAACUGAAGGAUGUUGAACCAUCCAUUUUCAAGGCUUUGCUACAUUUUAUUUACUCCGAUGAACUUCCUGAUUUUACUGAAAUCGAUGAUUCAACGCCUGCUUCUUCUACGAUCAUGACGCAACAUCUAUUGGCUGCUGCGGACCAAUUUGGUUUAGAUAGGUUGAAGCUAUUGUGUGAAGCAAAAUUAUGUGAAGAGUUCAGCACUGAUACAGUGGCAACAACUCUUUCCCUGGCAGAACAGCAUCACUGCACACAGCUCAAGCCCAUAUGUCUAAAAUUUGCUGCAGCAAACUUGGGAGUGGUGAUGAAAUCAGAAGGGUUCAAACACUUGGAAGAGAGUUGCCCCUCGCUGCUGUUGGAAUUGCUGGAAACAGUGGCAUUGGUGGAUGAGAAGCCGAAUCUCGUAUCAGGUAAGAAAAGGAGCAUCAGCAGCAUCUUCGCGCUGGAUUUGGCAGCAGAUGGCGUAGCAGAAUCAGUGAAUCCUAGUGGCCGUCGGGUGCGGAGAAGGACCUAGUGCUGUGUAUGCAAAUUGAAGAUACAAUGGGAAACCAAGGCUCAUGUCUAUAACGGUGUUUGUUGGCAUCAGGCCAGAGGAAAAAGGGCCCAUGGCAAAGUGUUGUUUCUGCUGGAGAUCUCCGUGGGCGGGUGGCAGUCACCAUCAACUCAGGCAUGUCUUCGUACUGUGUCUUGCUAUAUCUCGGGUAAUUCGCGGGCAUUUUGAACUCAGCUGCUCCCCCUUGCUCCCGUCAUUUUUAUUAUUACUAUUACUAGUAUAGUAGAUAUUACAUGUAACAAGAAGGUUGCCCUUUUAUAUGAUAUUCUCUUCAAAUGCCAUUGUAUGUCAUCACACAACCUGAUGAUUUGCCCUCUUCUGCUUUCUGUUAUCACGUACACAAAUUGCCUAUUUAUCUUUUUAUCUUUUACUA